UACGAACUGCGCGAACGUUAUUCGGAAUCACUGGGCUUACAGGGUGCGUAGGCGGCUUUUCAGGUCCGAUGUGAAAUCCCACAGCUCAACUGUGGAACGGCAUUGGAAACCGAUCAGCUCGAGUGGGCUAGAGGUGCACGGAACUUCCGGUGGAGCGGUGAAAUGUGUUGAGAUCGGAAGGAACACCAGAGGCGAAAGCGGUGCACUGGGGCUUGUCUGACGCUGAGGCACGAAAGCCAGGGGAGCGAACGGG
rnacentral:misc_RNA from 1 species